rnacentral:lncRNA from 1 species
GGCGAUUUGAGGAGGAGGAGGUGGAGGGGGCUACCAGGGUUGGAAUUAAGGGAAGCGGGGAGGGAUCGGGGGAUGAGGUCGCCGGGGCGGCGGCCGGAGAGGUCGAGGGCGUCGGGAUCGGCGGAGUAGGAGGAGAGGAGGAGGCGGACGAGGGCGGGGGAGGAGGGUGAUCCCCCGGAGGCGGCCAGGUGGAGGGGGGUGGCGCCGUCGGACGGGGAGCUGCGGAGGGCCUCGCCGGGUGCGACGGAGAGGAUGUACCCGAGCACGGCGGCCCCGCCGUAGAGCGCCGCGAUCAUGAGCGGCGUGCGCUGCUCCACCCCCAUCCUCAUCCGCCCCCCGCCGCCGGAGAAGGAGCGCCCGUACCAAGGCGCGGCCACGUCGAGGGGCAGUCCCCCCUCCUCCACCGCGCGCCGGAACCCCUCGACGUCGUCGGAGGCGGCGAGCUCGAGCAGGAGCGCCGCCCCCUCCGCAUCCGCCGCCGCCGCCGCCGCCGAGGGCUUGCUCUCGCUCAUGGCGGAUGGCGAUCGCGAGGGUUUCUGUGGACCACCGCACAUAAUAACAACAACAACAAACAACAACAAUAAUGAAAGAUGGAACAAGAAGGGGUGAGGAGAGGAGGGGGGGGGAAGGGGUUGGGAGAGGGCCAAGGAACGGGAUAAGUCUUCGGGGGCUUUUUGUAGGUGGAGGGGACGAGAAAGGAAUGAAAUAAAAUAUUAUUAUUUCUAGAGAGAGAGAGAGAGAGAGAGAAAUGAAAAAGAUAAGGGAAGUAGGAGAGAAGCUCCUCUUUUCUGUCUCUCUCUCUCUCUCUCUCUCUCUCUCUCUCUCUCUCUCUCUCUCUCUCUCUCUCUCUCUCUCUCUCUCUCUCUCUCUCUCUCUCUCUCUCUCUCUCUCUCUCUCUCUCUCUCUCUCUCUCUCUCUCUCUCUCUCUCUCUCUCUCUCUCUCUCUCUCUCUCUCUCUCUCUCUCUCUCUCUCUCUCUCUCUCUCUCUCUCUCUCUCUCUCUCUCUCUCUCUCUCUCUCUCUCUCUCUCUCUCUCUCUCUCUCUCUCUCUCUCUCUCUCUCUCUCUCUCUCUCUCUCUCUCUCUCUCUCUCUCUCUCUCUCUCUCUCUCUCUCUCUCUCUCUCUCUCUCUCUCUCUCUCUCUCUCUCUCUCUCUCUCUCUCUCUCUCUCUCUCUCUCUCUCUCUCUCUCUCUCUCUCUCUCUCUCUCUCUCUCUCUCUCUCUCUCUCUCUCUCUCUCUCUCUCUCUCUCUCUCUCUCUCUCUCUCUCUCUCUCUCUCUCUCUCUCUCUCUCUCUCUCUCUCUCUCUCUCUCUCUCUCUCUCUCUCUCUCUCUCUCUAUAUAUAUAUAUAUAUAUAUAUAUAGAGAGAGAGAGAGAGAGAGAGAGAAAUGAUAUGGAGAGAUUGAGCUCCAUGCAUUGAAAAGUACUUAUGAGUACGUUGGCUCCAAUACUGAUAAUAGUUUUGUAGCCACGACUUGUAUAUAAGGAAUGUGCGGUUAGGAUGAUGUGGGCCUCCUACGGUUAAGUGGGCAGUUGGUUGAAUAGUAUAAUCUAACUGUUGAAAAUGAUUAAAGACGUAGAUCUAACGGUAAAAAACUUACAAGUUACCAAGUGCUUGGUGCUUAUAUAAAACAAAACCUUACAAGUUACAACAAACAUGAAACCAAUGAAUUUAAAAAACUAAAGCAAGGGAAACCACUAUAAAAAAAAGAGUAAAAAAAACACACUAUGUUACUUUCCUAAAAACUCACUAAAUAAUUCAAACUGUACCAAAAGAAAUUGAUACAAAAACAAGUAAUUUAGAAAGUAUAAUUAAAACAACUUCUUUAAAAAGUUUAAUCAAGAGUACAGUGGCGGGAUUUAUCUUGCAUAGUAGUUGAUAAAUUUCGUAUUGUUGCCUCUUUUACUUUUUAAAAUAAAAUUGUUGAUAUAUAAUGUUAUCAUUAUGAUUAUCUUAUAAUAUAAUCUGGUCACAUGCCAAAGGGCAUUUUAUGAAAAAAAAGUGCAAAAGAAUUCAAGGAAAAAAUUUUCCAGUAAUUAUUAUUUUUUAUUAAUUUGUAAACAAACUCAAUAAAUGGAUAGAAUUUACAUUUAAGAAGAAUAAUUAAAAAACUUCAAUAAUACCAAACAAGGCCUUAAUUAACUAGUCAUCUGCACAUCAAAUUUUCCUAAUUUUGUCGAAUAUCGUAACAUAGUUUUACGAACUAAACUAUUGUUUUCACAUUAUUUUCUCAUGCAUAAAACACCAUUAACAUAGUUUCAAAUUACAACAAUGUAUGAUUUACCAAUACUACUAUCUAUAAUUAAGUUAUUAUAAACAUUUUUUGCUCGCACAAUAAUGUUUCAAGUUAAAUGCGAAUAACAUAUGCCUCUAACAAAGAAAACACCAUUAAGAGAUCACCAAAUUUACAAUAAUAUAUACUUCUUCCAUUCUCUAAUAUGUCUAAAUUAGCUUAAACAUUUUGUAAGAGUGCAAUGUUCUAAAUUAAACAUAAUUAACAUAUGAAAAUCGCUACCUGUACACCUAUUAUAGAUUAUACAUCUUACACCCCGUCAUUCAAGAGUUUAAAAUUUAAAGGUUGAUGAGAUAAGUUAGUAGAUCUAUAUAUUUUGAGAGGCUAGAAUGUAAGAUGUAAACCUACAUAAUAGUUGUAUAGAUAGCGUUGCUUUUAACAUGCCCAUUAUCCAACUAAACAUCACUAAUGUCCAGGUCCAAGCCGCCCUCCGUAACAUCCUGAAGAAUCGAAAGCCACGGAUCAUCUCCAUAAGCAAACUUCUCUACAUCACCGAAGUCGUCAUCGUCCACUACCUUCUGAAAAUUCUCCACCAUAUUGUUAUUAUUAUUACUAAUAUUGUCGUAAUAAUAUUGUUGUUCAACUUCACAUGUUGAGGAUUCAUGAGCGCCGAACUCUCCUUUAUUUGCAACUGAAUCAUAAUUUGGCGCGUGAUCUUGAAAAGUUUGGCCACCAUAAUGAAAUGUAUCAUUAGUAGAUCCAUAAGCUAGGGAUUGAGUACUUAGUUCUCCAAUUGUUGAAACAAGAAUUGGUGGUUGGCUCAUCGCAAAUUGUUGAAGUGCUUGUGUUGGGUUUGAUGUUGCAUAUCCAUUUAGUUGUACAUUCUCUAAAUAAGAUCUCUCAUAACACACAUUUGCAUAAGGAUAAAUGUUGAAACUUAAGGGAAUUUGAGCAUAAACGGGGGUAAUUUGGGUUACUACUCCUUGCAGAUAUUGUUGGUUGUAGUUGGAUAAGUAAGUUUGGUGCAUUCCAUGUUGUCCAAAUUGAUUAGGGAUUUGAUUGAUGAAGUUGCUUCCUUGAAUGUUUUGUGCACAAUAUAUUGGAGUGAAUGUAUUGUUUGAUCCCUUCUUUUUUCGAUGUUUCUGCAUAUGAAAAGAUAAGAUGUUAGCAUGAAAUAUUAGGUCAGAAGAAAAAAUAACACUUAGAAAGAAUUUGCGAAGUUGUUUCAAAUUUUCUUUCAGAAUAUAUAUGAAGGUAGAAUUGCCAUAUAUAUGAAGGUAGAAUUGCCUAUACAAAAUUUUAACUCAAUAACUAUAUUUUGAACACAAAUAUAUUUUAAAAAAGAUAAAGGUUUCGUCAAGUGAUAGAAAAUAACAAAAAUCCAACUAUCAAUCACUUGAAAACAAAAUUCUAAAUCUCUUUUUGUAAUGAACUAAGAAUAGACAAACUAAAUUUGACAAAACACGUAAACGACAAGUGUUUACCGUUUUCUUGACUUAACUAACUGUUAUAGCAUUCGACAAAAAAAGAAGAAAAAAAAAAAUCUGUGAUGCGCGAUAAAUGACAAAUCUACACUUUACAUAGAUUGCUUUCAUUCUCUUUUUGAACCUCCUCUUUUCAUGCGUCAAAAAAUGAAAACUACUAUAGAUAUACACUUACAUGGAAAAUGUCAUGUUAAGUAGGAUUUACAUUUUGCUCUCAACUAUUAUGCUAAUUUAGGAAUCAUCAAAUUGAAUAAUUAAUUAUUUUGCAUUUACCCAAUCUCUAGAGAUUUGUUUUCUAAGUUUUUUUAUUUUUUUUUUUAUACACUAUCUAUUUUUCAUCUUAUAUUGACCUAUAUCCAAGUAAAAAUUUAUUAGCAUAACCGAUAAAUCUUGGAUUCAUAGCACUCAACAGGUUGCAUGCAGUUACUUCUCUCUACUGUGAAUAUACGAGUGAGUUAAAAGCACAAAGAACAUAUUUAUAAGUGUAUAUAUCUACUUAGCAGAAGAGUAAAUGCACUUCAAAAACUAUAUAUUAAUGCUUUCCAGUGGAAAAAAUUUUACUAUAUAUAGCGACAACAUUUGUCACACACAUACAUAAUACAAAUAAACUAAAUACAAAUAAACAAAGCAUAGUAAAAGUUGAAGUGGAAGUUAGAUAAUCAAUAUAUACCUGUAAAUGGCUUGCAAUUUGUUGUCGACUUAUGCCCUCAACAUUCAUCAAUCUCAUGAUCUUGCUUGGAACAGCAUCUGAUUCAAGAAUCUUACAAUUAACCAUUGAGGAAUAUAUAUAUAUAUAUAUAUGUAUGUAUGUAUGUAUAUAUAUGUUUCUAUAAUUCUAAACAAAGUCCAAACUCAAUUAUAAUCUUACCGUCGCCUAGGAUUUCAAGUGCAUCAAGAAACUUUUGCUGGAGAAAGGAACACCAACUGAUCGGCUUCUUCCUUAGUUUGCUCAAAUUAUCGUCCUCACUCUCCAUCUUCUCUUCUCCCUCUGUGGUGUCCUUACUGCACUCCGCGCAUCCCUUAUUCGCUUCUUGCUUCGGAGUGUCGCCCUCUUUCUCUUUAGCAUCAACCCUAUUCUCUUCUUCCUCAUUCAACGUCGCUCGAUCGGUACGAUGAAAUUCUCUAUCCCCAGCGCUCUCGACACUUUCUCUUUUAGAAUGCUUCUUGAAGUUCAACACAUGUUGCCAUAAGUUUUCGACGGUGUUAAUAUCGAGCGGUUUCUUCGCAAAGAAGCAUGCUCCGAGUUCGAUACUUCUCUUCAUUACUUCCAAUCGUACAUCGGCCGAUAUCACUGAAUUUUUAAGAGCUAUUUUAUGUAAGAAAAGUUAACUAAAUACGAAGGAAUUAAGCAAAAUAUAAUCAAUCAAUAUAUAGUCAUUACUAAUAAAGUAAAGAUCAAAUUCUUUUUUGAUCAUGCUAAUGAGCUCAAACCCUCCCAUUUCUUGCAUGUGCACUUCCACUAAUAGAAGAUUAAACUCCGCUCCGCGCUCUCGAAGAAUUUUCAAUGCACACAAUGGACUUGCACAAGUAGUCACUGAAAAAAAAAAAGAAAGAAAGAAAACCCAAAAUUAUUCAAAUGAUGUCGUAUGCAUGACAACAUUAGAAAGUUAAAAUAAAAAGCAAUUAAAUUAACUAACCUCGAUAAUUGCAUGAGGAGAACAUCAUUCUCGCCUCCUUAAGAAAUGCUUGGUCAUUAUCAAUGACCAUAAGCUUUAUAUUAUCGGAAACAAAGUGUUCCAUAAUGUCACCCAUAUAUAGAAAUGUGAAUGUUAGGAAAAGAAUCAAAGGGUUUAAAACAAGAAGUUGAAGAACAGUGUGCCACAAUGUGUAAGUUUUUAUAUUAGAGAGAGAGAGAGAGAGAGAGAGAGAGGCCAUUUGGCAAAAUGUGCAUCUUUUUCACCUUCGCAUUUAAUUCCCGAAAACAAAUUAGAUAGUACUAAAAUUUGAACUUGNUAAGUCUUCGGGGGCUUUUUGUAGGUGGAGGGGACGAGAAAGGAAUGAAAUAAAAUAUUAUUAUUUCUAGAGAGAGAGAGAGAGAGAGAGAAAUGAAAAAGAUAAGGGAAGUAGGAGAGAAGCUCCUCUUUUCUGUCUCUCUCUCUCUCUCUCUCUCUCUCUCUCUCUCUUCGUUUCCUUUUGCUUCUACCCGUCUGGUCAAAAAGGCAACGCUGGGAAAGUUGCCUUCGUCCUCCCUUCCCCUUUCCCUUGCCGAAUUUUUUUUAAAAAAAAGGUGUAAAAUUGGAUGAAGACUCCCCCACCUAUAUCCCGUUCUUUAAUAGCCCCUUCAGCAAUAGACUCCGUUUUCUCGUGCCCACGCCAUCUACAUUCUUUUUAUUUUUUUAUUUUUAAAAAAACAAUGAUGAACUUGGGAAUAAAAAAAUUCCGUAAAUUUACUAAUUUAACCGAAAUUUUGAUUUGAUUAACUAGAUUGACUAAAAUUUUGGAAAAGAUGUUUUGAUUAUGGACCAUGAAUUUGCGAAGGGAGGAUAGUUAAAUGAAUAUAGGCUAUAGUUUCCAUAAAUUUUAUAUAUUUAUCUAAAAAUAAAUAUAUAUAUAACUUAUAUGAAUUAUGAACUAUUUUGAAUUAACUAUCUAGUCUUUAUAUAUAUAUAUUUUAUCUUUACUGACCGUCUCUAUAGCAUAUGGCAAAGGGCGUGGUGGUUGAUAUUCGAAGUCCCAAGUUCGAAUCCUAGCUGAUUCGCAUUUCCAGCUAAGUUUAUUUCUUAAUGCAAGUUUGAAUUCUAGUUGAUUUAUAUUUCCAGCUAAAUUUAUUUCUUAAUGAAAUAAACGAAGCGGGUGACGUGCUAUCUAUCUCUUAAAAAAAAAAAUAUUAUUAUCUAACAUUUCAACUUGUUUGAUUUUGAGUGAAUCGGCGACACUUUUACUUUAAAAUUUGAAUACGCUGUUUAUCUUUAUAUAUUUAAUCAAUAUACUCUAUAUAAUUCUUACGAUUAUAAAUUUAUUAAAGUAAGUAAUUAACUUAAAUUUUGAAGAAAAAGUAUUGUUAUCUGACUCAAAUCAAACAAAUUAAAAAAAUAGAAAGUAAAAUUUAAAUUUAAAGAUUGAACAACCAAAUUAAAAUAGCCUUAGUUUAGUAAGUUACACAUCUUUUUAUACCAUCUAAAAAACCAUAUAAGAUUACUUCACAAUAACAUUAUAUUUGGGGGAUCUUUUUACAUUUUUAACCCGAGUACCUCGAAGUGCUCCAAAAUGGAACAAAAAUUAGCGCCGUUAUGCUCCGUUAGCAAAUGACGUGGGGAUCACUUGGACUGUUCCACCGUGGUGGGACCCACGGGUAAUGGAUUCCUCCCGUGUGAACAAAUUCCAUUUGAAAAAAAUGGUGGAAUCCGCUACUUUUUCCCGCAACGAGUUAAAAAUGGCCACGUCAUCAAUCACGAUGGGAAAUAUCACCGGUUUAGUGGAGUCGAAAUCGACACGUGUCGGUUGGUUGACUUUGUUUGACUCCAAAAAUGUAGCUGUCUCACGCGUGGUGGAUGUCCUGUGGUAUUAUUUUUUUUUGGGAUUAUUUUUAUAUUUAAUUAUUUAUUAAUAUUGAGAUAAUAUAAUUCAAUUAAGGUAAGUGCGUUUGUUUAGACGCAAAACGAGCCGAAAAAUUAUUUUCAAUAUGAAAUAUAUUUUUUCGCUUAUUUUGUUAGAAAAAAUAUAUUUUUACGAAUAAAAAAAAUUUUAAAUUCUUAUUUUUCGUUGUUUUUCAACGUAAAACAAAAACUUGAACUGUGUAAAAUUUUUUUCCGUUCAUAUUUUUUCAUCAAACCAAACAAGUAUAGUUUUUUUUAACUAAACAAAUAUUAAUAAAAAAUUAUUUUUUCAGCAAAUUAAACACUACAAAACGUCAAAAAGUGUUUCCGUCAAAUUUUUUUAACAAAAAAUUAUUUUUCAUGGUUCUAUGUUGAACCAAACAGAUCAUAAUAAAUAGUGGAUUCUCUUUUCACAACAUAUGCGAAGUUAUAAAGAAUGUGUUAGUGGAAAUAGUAAUAUUAGUCAUACAUUUCUAAAUCUAGUAUAAUAUUUAAAGAAUUCGGAUACUAAACAUUAAGUCAUUUAUUACUUGUGUUAGGAUUAGAAUAAUUUUUAUACUAGUCAUAUCAAAUACCUUUUAUUUUUGAAAAAAUGGCUCCUUAUCUACCCAAACAAGUAUAUGUAUACUUCAGAGACAUUAUUUUCGUUGUGAUAUUCGAUUUUUAGAUUUAUUAUUAUUAUUAUUCAUUAGUAAUAAGAAUAUUUUAGAAUCUUCUUUACCCUUUUGAUGAAUCUGUGCUAUAAUUUACUUAUCUUUUUUAAUCUUAAAUGGCAAAAAAUUUCGGCCAAAUUUUUAGUUGGGCCGUUUUGUCUCCUGAAGUUAUAGGAUUCAGGCCCAGUAACUUUCUCAAAAAAACGGAAAAAUAAAUUUUAUAAAAAGGGUACAUUUUUAUUAUGAAUAUUUACAUUUAAUAUUUGUAUAAUUUACAAUCUAUAUUAUAUAGAUAUAUAGAUAGAUUUGAUUAAUAACUCACCUAGCUAUUUAGUUUUUUUUUUUUUUAGUAUAUUCUGACCAAAUGAAAACGUGUCAAAUAUGAUUAUAUUUUAUUUAAUCUAACUAUGGCGCUUUAAAAAACACAAAGCACUUAGUGCUUGUAAUUUUUUCACCAGUUAGAUUAUACUAUUCAAUCAACUACUCACUCACUAUAAUACUAUUAGCAAAUCCCUUAAUCCAAGAGUGAAAAACCUACAUGUAGCAAUGACUUGAUACUUUUAAAAUAUAGAAGCUUAAUUCUAUAUUUUGCAUUAGAAUCACUCCUUAUCACGAAUUUCGUAUUACUAAGAUAUUCACAAGUUCGAAUCCUAGUUGGUGGUUGGUACUCGAGACCCAAGUUCGAAUCCUAGUUGAUUCACAUUUUCAGCUAAGUUUAUUUUUAAAUAAAAUAAACGAAGCGGGUAGCGUGCUACCUAUCUUUGAAAAAAAAAAAAGAAAAAGAAAAAGAAAAAGAAAAGAUAUUCACAAAAAGUCCUUGAUAACCGAAUAUUACCUAUGAACCAGGUCAUGCAUAAAAGGCUUAAAUAGUUAGGCACAAGCAAGUUCAACUAACUCUUGUACAAAUUAAUCAUGCUAUAAUUACUAAUUAAGAUCAUGUGAAUUUUGCUGCUCAUACCUGUUACACAGUGAGAAUUCGCAAAAAUGUCAUCAUAGAAGCAUGUAAAAAUUUUCUAGUAUGAUUAAAAAUUUGACAUUGAUUUUUGCUACUUAAAAGAUUCUAGCAUCUAUAGCUCGAUAGAAUAAUAUAUCUCACCUGCGAAAUAAUUUAUUUAUUUUAUCCCAAAAAAUAUGUAUAUUUGAUGGCCGAAUAUUUCAUUCCAUAAAUUUAAUCAAACUUCUUAUCUAUCUACUAAAUAAUUGCUUUUUUUUUUCCUAUCUUUUGUGCUACUUUCCUUGUUAUAUAGAUUAGACUUAUUUAGUUUAAAUAAUUAUUAUAAUUUUAAGAUAAAGCUGUUAUCACACCCUAAGAUUUAUCUAAUAUUCAAAAUUGAUAAGCAUUAAUUUCUUUAUUUUAAUAACAUAGUGAGAAUUGAAAUGUAAAAAAACUUAAUCCUUAUGCAUAAUCUCUUUAACUAUAUUCUCAAGUUUCUUUAAAUAUUUAUAAUAUUUUUUCUAACUUUCCACAGUAAUAUUUGUAUAGUAUAAGGAAAUAAUUAAUUUUUUCUAACUUUCCACAAUAAGAUUCUCAUAGGAUAAGCAUGAGAAGGUGUUUGGCUCAGUCAUUCUCAGCUUAUAUUUUUCUAAUACAAUUAUUGUAGGUCGUUUUCUAAUCUUAAGAAAAAACUUUUUGGCUCAUAUUUUUUUCAGCUUAAUAUAUAGUUUUUUUUUAAAAAAUUUAUUUUUUAUAAAUAAACCAAGCCAAUUGCAUCAUAUUAUCCUAAUUUGCAUCGUUGGUUCAGCUAAUUAAAAAUUAAAAAUUAAAAAUUAAGAUAUAUCUGAGUCUAUUAGGUGCCACGUAGAUAUCAGAAUACAUAUCUCAAAUUUGAAAUAUUUAAAAAUAUAUGAAUUAGGCAACAUGCUGACGUGGCGACAUGCGGGCCGUGGGAUUGGAACGUACGGACCUGAUGUUGCUCUUCUCACCCAAAUGUUGUCUAAGAUUAAGAAGACACAGGUUCAAUCAAAAUGCGUAAUGUUAUAUAAGAAUGGUUCGGAUUAGAUAUUGUUCUCUCUCCAUUAAACCAAAGAAAAAAAAAAAAAGAAAAAAGAAGAAGGAGGAGAAGAUGUUUUUUAGAAGACGUGGAAAAGCGUCGAAAAAUGUUUCUACAAUACAGCAAAUACUGAGGUUCCAAACAACAUCAUCAUAUCAAUCGCAUAUUGUAUCUAACUAAUUUAUAAAAAUAAUUAACAAACUUCACAAUUAUUUUUAAUUUUAUGACGCUUAAAUCAUAAUAAUUUUUUAUAUAUACAUUGUGACUCUUUAUUUGCCGACGCUUUUUAGACUAUUUUGAAGUACUUUUAAGUAUCAUUAAAUACCGAAAGUAAACGUCCUUAAUUAAAUGUUAAUUAUAAUAUAAAUAGAACAAAGCAAACCCACUAUACAUAUAUUUCUAAAGUUUGUACUUACAUAAUUAAUCCAACAAUUUAGCAUUUUACAUGUUAAAUUUAAUUCGAUCAGAGUAUUUGGUUUGAAAACUUUAAGUUAAUUCAAUAAUUCUAAAGAAAAUCAACUAUGGAAACCAAUUAGAACAUGUUAUUGUACCCAUAGUGUAGGAACUUGUAAAAAUCUAGCCAAUUUACAGCAUCUACCACUUGUAAGAGCCCAAUCCAUGAGCCCAUAAAAACUCCAUGCUUUACUGGGCCAUCUAGUCGAAUAUUUACCUCCUAAACUUUAGCUCGUAUACAUACAAUCAUACGAACUUAUAAUUUUGACAAUUAAAUUAAACCUCUAUAAAUAUUAUCAAAUUAUUAGUUUAAAUUGGCCUCUCUCUUCAAUUGAAGCUGCAAUUUACACAUCUUACGUAUAAUCCUGUAAAGCUCCAAACCAAACAUACAAAAAGAACAAACAAAAGGUUCUAUUCUAACAUAUAGAAGAGCAACAAAAAUCGAAUUUAGUUUCACAGUAGAAAGAAAAGAAAGAUUUCUUUCCCUUUUGCAAUCGUUGCGAGAUAUAUAUGUGCACGACAUGCGAUCAAAAUAGUAAUGUAAUUAGUAACUUUUAUUAAGGACAGGAGUACUCUAUCGAUCGUACAAAUAAAUUUGAGAGUUCAGAUACCUAUUUAGAAAUGAGCUGAAGUUCUUAGGGUCUCUAUACAAUUUCUCUAAUGUUUUAAAUCUUGUGUUAAGUUCAAGAGUUUUUAGUUUGAAAGCAUAAAACAUGGUCAAGAACACCAAAUUUAAAUGACCUGAUGGUAUUCCAUUUGAGACAUUAAUUAGGUCACACGAGUCAACGAUCAAAUUAAUAUUUUCAAACUUCUUGAGUAAACCAAAAACAUAUACCAAAUAAGAUAUUCAUACAUUCCAACGGGACCUUAAUACCCUUAUCUAACUUAUGGGUCACCUAAACUUUUCUAUUGUAUUCUAUUUCAGACAUUAAUUAAUUAGGUCGCACUACUCAACGACCAAAUUAAUACUACGAACACCUAAAGCAAACAAAAGAAUAUAUCAAAAAAGAUAAUCAUACAUUCAAACAGGAUCUUAAUCUCCUUAAUUAUCUAACUUAUGGAUCGCCUAAACUAGUCUAUUGUUUUAGAUUUGAGACGUUAAUUAACUAGGUCACAUGCACUACUCAACGACCAAAUUAAUACUACAAACUUCUUAAGCAAACCAAAAAAAAUAUACCAAAUAAGCUAAUCAUACAUUCAAACAGGACCUUAAUAUCCUUAUCUAACUAAUGAGUUGCCUAAACUUUUCUAGUCAUAUUUUUCAAAAUAUGACCUAGGGUAACUAGAAAUGAAGGUACAUAUCUGUACUCCGUGUCAUGUAUAGUCGAAUUAUACAAUUUUUUUUAAAUUUUUUUCUCUCCUUUUUAAGGUAGUGACAACCCAGAACAAAAGAGCUUUGAUAAAGCGUGAAAUUCACUUUUCAGUAGCAGCUCAAACCUUGUUAUGUGAUCCACUCAUGCAUAAAAGGCUUAAGCACAGUUAGGCACAAGAAGGUUAAACAAACUCUCCUAGAAAUAAGUCAUGCUACAUAUAAUUACUAAUAACUAUAUAAGUUGGUUAAGCUGAUGUUAUAUCACUCGCAAACAAAAGAAUUAAUCUAAAAUAUUCUAUAUAUCACUCACAAACAAAGGAUUGAUCUAAAUUAUUCUAAGGACUAGCUAAGACGGUGUUGUUUCAUAUCACACAUGAUGCAUGCAUGAAAACAUAAUAGAAAAUGUUGUAUCCACAACAUUUUAUAUGCAUCUAGAAUAGUUGACUACUCCGUAAGCAACUAAUUAAUUAAAUAAGUUAAAAUCAAGUCAAACAAGGAAAGUUGAACAACAUCAAAAGUAGAACAACUGCUCCGAAUUUCAAUGCCUUGCAUAUUAAGGGAGUCCAAAUUUUUUCAACCAUUCCUUAUGCAAUAGGUUGAAAAGAAGCAAAACGAGCAAUUGGCGCUUAACAAAUUCAAAUCACAACAAAGAAAAAAACCAGCAAAUCACACGCAUAAAUCCAUGGUGUGAGGGGGAAAGGAUACCAACUCUAACUAGGACAAUCUCUUGCCCUGAUACUACGUAAUAUAUUAAUUAAAUUCGUCAGAAACUUGAACGGUAAAGAAUAGUGUUUUAAUAAAUUAUACGAAAUGACCUUUUGGCUUUCUUUUGAAGCAUGGCGGAGUACAUGAAUUCUCUUGCAAAGUCCUAAACCUGCUUCUGGAAGAAGAAGAAAAAACAUGUUAGCACUCUUUUAGACACAUGCAUGCAUGUGAGAUUUUCUAAGUUGUUCAAUAGCAAUGGAGAAUGGCAACUUAUGUCCACAUUAAUUAGAUUAAAUUUGACGAUUUGAUGAAAAUUAUCCUGUAUAGAGCAUGCUAGUUUAAUUUGUAUGUUGAAUAAACUAAAGGUGAUCAAUUAACAAUGAGAGAUCUAAGUAGUUAUAUAUGUUACUAGCCAACACUACUCUUAUGAGUGGUAUGUAUAUAUGUAUAUAUAUAUAUGGGGAACAAUCUAAUGCAAGACCAUGUAGUGAACCAUCAUCAGAUGGAAUCAUUUCAAAAGAAAAAUUCGAUAUUGAUCUUAAUUAGUUCAGAUAAAACUGCAGUUUGAUUCUCAAGAAAAUGUUUGUGUCCCCUGCAAAAGCAAAUUCUGAAAGAAAAAAUUAUAAUAGGAUGACACUUUAUGCUCGAUAAGUUUUAUUCUCAUAUGCAUGCAACUUUGUGCUCUUUUUUUUUUUUCCUUUUUUUUCCCCUAUUGCAAGACAUAUGGUGAUCUAGCUAAUAUGCAAUUUACUAACUGCUAACUUACAAUUAUAAGUUUUUUUUUUUUUCUUGGGUCUAAUUAAGUGCUCACAUUGUUGCAAGUUGUCGAUAAUGUACAUCUCUUCACGAUCCUUAUCCCUGCAGGUAUAAACAUGUACAAGAAUCAAUCACAUUGUUCCUAAUUAGGAUAUUUUUUAAUUUCAUUAAAUUGUUAGUACAAUGCUGUAUUUUUACUAACAAAGGUAGAAUUAUUCAUCAAAUGAACAAUUAUUUAGCACGAAUCAUCUUUAAUUUGGUGAUAUCGUUGUUAACAUAUAUCAAUUAAGUUGGCUUAAUAUGCAGAUUGUUAAUUUUCACUCUCAGAAUGAUGCUCACAAAACAUCUAGGGGGUACGAAGAAAAGAAGUAAAGGUGAACAAAAAAGGAAA